AGGCGGAGUCUCACUCUGUUGCCCGGGCUGGAGUGCAGGGAUGCGAACUCGGCGGACUGCAAACUCCGUUUCCCGGGUUCAAGCGAUUCUCCUGCCUCAGCCUCCUGAGUAGCUGGGAUUACAGGCACCUGUCACCAUGCCCGGCUAAUUUUUGUACUUUUAGUAGAGACGGGGUUUUGCCAUGUUGGCCGGGCUGGUCUUGAACUCCUGACCUCAGGUGAUCUGCCUGCCUCGGCCUCCCAAAGUGCUGGGAUUACAGGCAUGAGCCACCGCGCCCAGGCAGGACUUUUUUAUUGAUGUUGUAUGUGGUUAUUCAAUGUAUGUUUUUUCAAAUCUGUGAUAUAUCAAAGUGUAAUCCAUCUUUUGACUGGAUGUAAUCUCCUUUAAAUCUUAAAAAGAUUCAUGUUCUCUGAAUGAUGCCACCAUAAUAAUGUUUACAUGUAGUGAGCAUGUAAACAAUUGAAAUGAAAACAAACAUAUUCCAAAUGAGUGUGAAGGAGCCUCACUUCAGGAAAAUGAAAGAAAUAUGAAAUACAUAUGUUUUCCUUUUUCAUAGGGAUUAUUAUUUUAAGAGUUGAAAUUGGUUUUUGAAAUAUGUUACAUUGUAGAAUAAGUUCAACAUACAUUUUCUGAGCCCAGCUAUGUGCCAAGCACUGUGAGGGAACACAGUAGUGAAUGAGAUCCUUCUGGCCUCUAGGGGACUCUCAGUGGGGGCAGUAACUAUAACACAGAGCAGCCUAUGGUAAGUCCUGGAUUUUUGAGGAUUGUCUUUUUCACUAAAUCAGACUUUUUUAAUAGGUGGAGAGAAGAAUAAUGGAUUGCUUUAAUAAUCUGUUGUGAUGGGAAAGUGUUUCAUUAAGAAUAUUGUUAUCUCUAAAGUGCUAUUGCCAGGAGUUGAUUCUUAAACUUGAUCAAAGUGGUGUUGUGUGAAGAGGCUGCAGGGAUUCCUUUUCUCCUCCCCUUAUCCAUCAUUCACUCCUAUAUUUUAUUAGGGGAAUAUUGUGGCUUUGUUGUAGAAGUACAGGGUAUCUUACAAUGAUUUUGAUGCAUAUUUUCAACUGAGAAUGAUUUGUUUGGUUUGAAUGAAGGAUUGGACUCUGAGAGUAGGAUUCUUUUACUAGUACAACUAUAUGUCUUGCCUAAUUAUAGUUCUUUCUUCUAAGAUCCUCAAAGUGUGGCCUGUGCAGUGUAAAUAUAUCCAUUUGUUUAGUAUAUCUAAUUAAGUUCAUGGAUCAUUUCUAAAGUGGCAGUAAUCUGCCCAUUUAUUCAACUGAUUGUACUGUGACAUGCUGGAUAGGAUCAGUGGUUUAUGGGACUUUUGCUCUGAUAGAAAUAUUAAUGAGUGGAAAAAAUAUGUUGACAUCUCGCUACAUGAUUUAAAGCUUAGUCUUAAUAAUACCUUAAACUUGUAAGACUGUUUAUAAUAGAACACUUGGACAAUUCUCUUAUUUCAUUUCCCCAGAAUUUUAUUAAAUAGGUUGGGGAAGCAGCAUGUGUCUGUGCUUGGAGACUUGGGAUCAAACCUCUGCAUUAUUGUUACUCGCUGAAAAACCUAGUAACCUUUUUCUUUUCUUUUCUAGACAGAUAGCUCUGUCACCCAGGCUGGAGUGCAGUGGUGCGAUCUCAGCUCAUUGCAACCUCCACCUCCCGGGUUCAGACAAUUCUUGUGUUUCAGCCCCUCAAGUAGCUGGGAUUACAGGCGUGCACCACCACACCCGGCUAAUUUUUGUAUUUUUAGUAGAGACGGGCUCUUGCCAUGUUGGCCAGGCUGGUCUCGGACUCCUGGUCUCAAGUGAUCUGCCCGCCUUGACAUCCCAAAGUGCUGUGAUUACAGGGUCUUGCUCCAUUGCCCAGGCUGGAGUGCAGUGGUGUGAUCAUGGCUCACUGCAGUCUGGACCUCCUGGGCUCAAAUGACCCUCCUGCCUCAGCCUCUUGAGUAGCUGGGACUACAGGUAUGAACCACCAUGCCUGGCUAAUUUUUUUUUUUUUUUUCUUUGUAGAGAUGGGGUUUUUUGCCAUGUUGCCCAGGCUGGUCUCAAACUCCUGGGCUCAAGCGAUCUGACCACCUCGGCCUCCCUCCCAAAGUGCUCGGAUUACAGACAUGAACCACCAUGCUUGGCCUGUUCCCAUUUAUAAAAGUGGAAUCAUAAGAGCUGUUCUUACCACAGAGCUUUAGUUGAGGCUGAAAACAAUAUAAAAAUACAUUUGCAGUUUUUCUUUACUUUGUAUCUUGCCCUUUCAAUUUAUCAUAUGAAGAAACUUAUUCUCAGAGGUGGUAGGAGACCUAUCAAAGGUAGAAUAGAUAAUGACAGCCAGACUUAGGUCUUCUGACUCAAAGGUUUGAGUUUUUCCCCAUUGAACUAAACUUUUGGGUAGACACAAUAUCAACUGAUUGUUGAAAUGGAAACAUUUUUAUCUACUUUGAUUUCCCCCCUGUUUUUAGAUAAAAGAGGGGUACAUGUUCAGAGGAAUGUAAUGGCUUUCUAAGUCAACAGCCUCUCAAGUGGUAGAUACCAGAGCAGUCUCCUAGCCAGAUGUGACUUCCAGAGCUCUCUGCCUUCCCUGGCUCACUUUCUCUUCAUUCAAAUUAUUCUCUAGAAAAGGUUGUCAUUUAAAGGUCAUCCUGUCAUAUCUCAAAGGCACUGCACUAUCCCAAUGCCGAAAACCCCCUAUUUCUCUUGUGUGCACCCCACUUUUCAGGGAAAGUAGAACCACAAAAGUAGAACUUUCAAUAUUGAGCUGCUAAAGUGUUCCAAUAUUGGGCUUAAUUUACCAAGUUCAUAAUGACAAACUGAAAAAGAGUAGUCCAAUUAAAAUCUGGAAACAGAUAUUAAUACUUUUUAAAGAAUAAGUAUAAUGAUAGGUAAGGAUUUCUCUUUUGAUUCUCACUUUUUAGGCUUUGUUCUAUAUAUUUAAAUAUAUAGAAAUUCACAUAUAUAAAUAAACAAAAUAUUGUAUAUAUUAAAAAAAAAGAAUAAGGAUAAUGAACAAUGCUAAAAUACCAUGUAGUGUGAGUCUGGUUGGAAACAAAAAUUACCUUUAACAAAUUCUAUUUUAGUUAGUGUUUAAACACAGCAUCCACAUUUUGAACCAGGUUUCAACAUUAUGAGAUACGUGUUUGGAUAAUUGUAUACUUCAUGGAAGUAUAAUAAACAUAUAUGUACUAAUAAUCCUUUCUUAAGAAUAUCUGCCCAUUGAAGGGUCUUGUAGGUUGGAGGCAAAGUUUAUUUAUAUAACUUAUUUUUUAUUUUUUUUUUAUUUUUUGAGACGGAGUCUCACUCUGUUGCCCAGGCUGGAGUGCAGUGGUGUGAUCCCGGCUCACUGCAACCUCUUCCUCCUAGUUCAAGCAAUUCCCCUGCCUCAGCCUCCUGAGUAACUGGGAUUACAGGCACCCACCACCAGCCAGGCUAAUUUUUGUACUUUUAGAAAAGACGGAGUUUCGCCAUGUUGGCCAGGUUGGUCUUGGACUCCUGACCUCAGGUGAUCCGCCUGCCUCAGCCUCCCAAAGUGCUGGGAUUACAGGCGUGAGCCACUGUGCCCAGCCAAUUUAUAUAACUUAUUUAAUGUGUGGUUAUAGUUUGGAUGUUUCUGGAUAAUCGUUUAAAGAUGCACCAGUUACUGGAUUACAGAAUAAGAUACGUCAAUUUAAGUUUCAAAUUUCAAAUGCUUGGAGACUGCCAGAUUUCAUAGAUUUGGAAGGGGAAUCCCUGGAACCAAAUCUCGGAAAGUUGGCCAGGUAGCCAAUGGUGGACACUUUCUGUGAUGGAGCUUUAGCUACUGGGGCAGUGUCUUUGAACUGUUCUCAUCAGUGCAGAGUUCUUUUUAUUUGGGCAAAAUCAGCCUUUCUGUUCUCUAGAUACAAAUUAUGUCUAAUCCUUCUUUCACAUGGUAGCCCUUAGACAACAGAUUUUUGAGAACAGGUACUAAUUCUCUCUUAGUCUUAAUUUUCCUCUUUUCUAGGCCAAUCAAACCUAAGUUCCACAUGCUUUUUUCUCUAUAUAAAAUGAUUUCCAUAUAAUUAUCCUAAGCUUUGAGAAUAAUGUUUUUUUUUUUUAUUAUUUUGCACAACAGGGGUUUUCACCAAUUUUUAUUAUAAAAGGUUAAAAAAGAAUUAAAGAUUACAGAAAGGAAUAAAAUGAGAAAAGUUAAGUAUUCUCUCCCCUCCCUGAUCAUUUAGGUCCUUGCCUCAGAGAUAACUUCUACUAAAAGUUUCUGGAAGGACUUUCAACGUACAACAUGAGUGUGUGUAAAUAUAUAUGCUUUACACAUAUAUGUAUAUGUAUGUGUAUACCAUUAGAAUUAUAAUAAAAUACAAAUUCAAAGUUUAACCAUGUUCAUAUAUGUACAUUGUUCAAUAAUGCUUAAUGACAAAAAUAGCUACAAUUUAAUUAUUAUAAUUCAGGGAUUAUGCUAAACACUGCAUAUGGUGUCACAUUUAACCCUCAUAAGAAUCCUAUAAGGUAAAUGAUAGUAACGGUCAUCUUAUAGUUGAAUAAACUAAGGCACAGAGAGGUUAAGUUGCGUGAGGUUACACAGGCUCUACUUAUUCUAUAUUGAGUAAAAUGCCAUAGAGAAAUGCCCAUACGAUUGCAAAUGAAGAAUUUAGUGGUGAAUUUUUUUAUUUGCUUCUUUCUCUGAGGCAAGGAAAAAUAGGAGUGAUUGAGAGAACCAAAAUGAGUUCAGUUGUUUUUUAAUCCCAUGAAAGUACAAAUAUGUUUUCUUUACUUAAAUAUAAAGAAUUUAAAAACACUGGAAAUGAAAACAGCAAAAACAGCAUUGAAUAAAGCUGAUUAAGACUUGAUACGGCACUGAGAGAACAAUACAAUUGAUGAAGCAUUAUAUAUUUUUGGAAAAAUAUAUUGCAAAUGAAAAUGGAUCCCCACUGCUCUUAGGAUAAAAUCCAAGAGGAAUAGGUCCAUGAAGGUAAAAAUGCCUACGGCCUACAAAAGUCAUACUGCAGCCCCAGGGAAAAGAGGGCAAAAUGUGAAUCCUGGAGAUAAUUUACAGCUGUGUGAAGGAUGAAUCCCACCGGUGGUUCCUAACUGUGAUCUGGCUGCAUCAGAUGUACCUGAGUAAACACAGAUUCCCUACUAUGCAGCCGUAAAAAGGAAUGAGAUCAUGACCUUUGCAGGGACAUGGAUGGAGCUGGAAGCUGUUAUCCUCAGCAAACUAAUGCAGGAACAGAAAACCAAACACUGCAUGUUCUCACUUAUAAGCGGGAGCUGAAGAUGAGAACACAUGGACACAUGGCAGGGAACAACACACACUGGAGCUUGUCAGGGCAUGGGUGGGGCGGGGGAAGGAGAGCAUCAGGAAGAAUAGCUAAUGGAUGCUGGGCUGAAUACCUAGGUGAUGGGUUGGUCUGUGCAGCAAACCAUCAUGGCACACGUUUAUCUAUGUAACAAACAUGCUGCACAUGUACACCAGAACUUAAAAUAAAAGUUGAAGGAAAAAAAGGAAAAGAAAACACAGAUUCCUGGGCCCCAAGCAUGUUUGAUUUAGGAGGAAGGGGAGGGGUGUGUUGGAAGACAGAGCAUGCCAGUGGAGGACCAGGAGAACAAUCAAAUUGCAGUUUAGCUGAUGACCUGAGAAACAACGAAGGCCCUAGCCAGGGCAGUGUCAGUGAGACUGGGAAAAAGUCAGCCUGGGGAAGCAUUGCACAGGUGAAUGACAGACUGACAACCAACCAAUGGUGGGGUCUGAGAUACAGGAGAUACCUGGAUGGCAGCAGGAGAGAAGGUAGUAUUUCUAGUCUCAGCCAGAAGUGGAAAAUGUGAUCAACUGUUUUUCUCUGCUGCAAGUUCACCAUGAACAUACUUGUGGAAGGGCUGAGAAUACUGUUAGCUUGGCACAAGCUUUCACCAGGCUUUCAGCUUUUUGGUAGGCUGCCCAUUAGGCUGUGCAGAUGCCCAGGGGAGUGCUGUGGAGGGGUGUGUGGUAGAAGCAGGCCCUGUGUUUGCCUGGAGGAAGAGUGAGAUAAUGGGUAGAAAUGCUAGAACUGAAGCUCUGUGGCUCUGGGCUGAGUCCAGGCCUAAGGCCCGAGGCCAGUACGGUGUCUGUAUCGGGUGGCCCCUUCUCACUGGGAGAGCCCUAGACUCUGGUUCCUUGCUUGUUGAUGGAGGCACAGCAAGAAUAAUCAAACACCUGAGAAACUUGGAAGAUGAUUAUUGAAACCAGAAUUUUUUUUCAGAAUUCUCUGGAAAAAAUAAAAAAAACAAAAAACAAAAAACAAAAAAACCAAAACAACCCUGACCCCAGAAAUUCUCAGGGACUUUCUUGUACCAGCAUUUGGCCACUUGAGCAUUGCGGCAAAAAUCUUAGCAGAUAAUAGUCUUCAUUUUUCCCUGAUCCUUAUUCUUAUUUUAGUUUCUUCCUCUUCUGCAGUCUUUCCCUCUCUUCUCUUCUUUUGUCCUUCUCUUUCUCUUUCCCACCCAUCUUCAACUUCCUUAUCCCUCUCUCUUCUCCUUUGCCUCUUGUACUCAUCUGCUCCCCUCUUCUCUUUUCUCCUCCCCUUCUCUCUAGUCAGUGAGUCAGCAUGCCUGGGAGAUGUGGAGCCCCAUGCCAUAUGCAGAUGACUGUAGUUUUGGGAUAUGUGUACGCAUGUGACUUAGUUCUCAGUCUGCUGCAUGUGGCUCAAAAGGUGUGAAGACUGGUGUCACUUUCCAAUUUAGGCAAUUGCAUCUGGCUUACCUAAAAUUUCACUUGCUGCUUCAAUCAGCAAAGUGUUUCUUCCAUACUGUGACUUGGUGAUGAGAGGUUUCAUGAGCUGCAAUACCAGAGGCAGUUGCAUUUCAUUCAGAUGAAGGAAUGAAUUUUACUAAUCCACAGCCCGAGAGUAUAAGAUAAUAGCUCACCAUUUCUUCCCCUCCAUCUCUCUUACUUUACCUCUGUAGGAAAGCAGAUCUUUCUCUUCUUCUUCCCUGUUGCUGAAGCCUAGAUAUAUUGCUCUAUUUUCAACCCUUCCAUGUCUAAAUUAGUUGAGGCUGUUGAGCAGUGGGAGUACUAGGGAAUUAUGAGUCAGGAACUCCAAAUCUAAGCUCUGACUUUGUCAUUUACAAGCUGUGACCUUGGGCAAGUCAUUCAAAUGAGAAAAAUCAUACUGACCCUGCCUUUUUCAUAGGCACAGUGGAAUGUGAGAAUGUAAAUGAAUGCAUUUGCAGUUGAUACUCUUCAUUCAUUCAUUGCAUAAAUGUCUCCUGGCUGCCUACUAUGUGCUGCCACUCUUCUAGCCAUGGGGGAUACAGUAGACGAUAAGAUAGAUAAGACCUUGGCACUUAUGAGUUUGAUUAUAGUGCAUGAGCAGUGAACAAAGAUAUAUGGUUCUAUGGUAUGCUAAAUUCUAUGGAGGGCUAGAGCAAGCAGAGAAUAGCUCAGGAUGGUAGUAGGAUGGGGAGACCUAUCUUCCAGGGGCUGGUCAGGAAAGGCCCUUCUGAGGAGAUAAUGUUUGAGCUGACACCUGAAGAAACAGAAACAAGCAGGAAAAAGAAAGAGCAGAGUGUAGGGCAUUUCAAGUUCUAGGUACAGCAAAUGCAAAGACCUGGAGAAGGGGGAUAGCUUUGUAGAAAGAAGUGUGUACCUGAUAUAACUGGUGCUUAGUGAACUAGGAGGGCAUGGCCACAAAUGAGGUUUGAGUUGUGUUUUUAAGAGACUGUUUGGCUGCUUGCAUAGAGAGAGUUUGAGGUGGCUUCCUAGGUAUUCCACAUUGUAGGCAGGAUUUCUACAUCAUAGACAAGGUCAGCAAUUAUACUGUUCAACACUAAGUAUCAGUCUUUUAAAAAUUUAUUUAUUUAUUUGAGACAGGGUCUUGCUCUGUUGCCCAAGCUGGCUGGAAUGCAGUGGUGCAAUCAUAGCUCACUGCUGCCUCGAAUUCCUGGGCUCAAGCAAGGCUCCUGCCUCAGCUUUCCAAGUAGCUAGGACUACAGGCAUGCACCCCACCAUGCAGGGCUAAUUUUUAAAUUUUUUGUAGACCAGAGUCUUGCUAUGUUGCCCAGGACGGUCUUGAGACCUCAAGGAAUCCUCCUGCCUUUGGCCUCCCAAUAUACAGGGAUUACAGAUGUGAACCACCACACCCAGCCUAAAUUUAAUUUUUUAAAGACGAUUUUUUUUUAAGAGAAGUUUUAUGUUCACAGCAAAAUUGAGAGGAAGGUACAAAGAUUUCCCAUAUAUCCCCUGCCCCUACACAGGCAUCGCCUCUCCCAUUAUCAACAUCCCCCACCAGCAACAUACUUUGUUAUGCUCUAUCAUAUGCAGAACUUACAAUGAUCCAGUGAAGUAGGUGGUAUUAACAAAAUGUUUUUGAGAGAAGGUUCAAUUAGGUUCAAUGAGCUUAUACACAGUGAAACUAGCAGCAGAACUCAGGUCUUCUGCCAUAUUGGGACAUGAGAGAGAUUUUCAGAAGAGGAAUUGACAUCUUGGGCACCCUGUAGCCAAGAUAUAUCAGCUACUUUAGGAAGAGACAAGCUGGAGGGAUAGGACAGGAAAAGUUGGGUUUUAAUUGCCAGGGAAAUUGGUUUAGAUUGCCUUGAAAGUAUAGCAGGAUUUUACUGUAAUUAUUGGUCUUAAAAUUCAGCCAUUAAAAUCUCCUAACAGGAGAUAGGAGCCUGGCUUUGUCUCUGAAUGUGCCAGGAGAGAACUGUCUCCAUUAUGCCUCUCAUUGGCACACAGAGGCUGGGAAACUUUCACACACUGUCUCGUUUUGUGAGCAUUUGCAGUUGUAACGGAAGACAGCUCUAUUUUAUAUCUUGCUUUGUUUUCAAGCCAUUGCAUGAAAGCCAGGCCUCUUGGCUCUUAAAAAUUAACCCCCCCAAACCUAUUUUAGUUUAUAGCAGUGAUACAGGUUAAUGAAAAGAAUAUUUAAAACAAUUCAGAGAGUAGUAUAAAAAUGAAAAUAAAAAUCCAUUUUUUUCUAUCUUCUCACACAGACAUGGAUUCUUGCAUAUUCACAUAUACAUACAUCCAAUCAUAUAUAUAAUGUACACUUGAAUUCCUGGAAUCCAUCUAUACAUGCUAUUAUAUAAUGUGAUGUUUUAUUUAACAUUGUCAUAGAUAACUUUCUAUAUUAGUACCUAAAGAUGUACCUUAUUUUCUCUAACGAUUGUUUUAAAUUCCACUGUCCAAAUUCCUCUAUUGAUAGGGGGUAAAUAUCUUUGAGCAUAUAUUUUUAUAUAUUGUAUAUGCAGUAUACCUGUGGGAAAAAUUCCUAGAAGUGGAAUUACUAAGAGAAAGAACAUAUGCAGUUCACAUUAUGAUAGAUCCUGCAUUGUUGCUAAGAACCUUGCACUAAAUUAAGUUUCUAACAGUAUAUGAGACUACCUGUUUUCCCACAUUCUUGUCAAAGCUGAGUAUUGACAAACUUCUUAAUCUUUGGUAGACUCAUACAUGAGAAAUGAUGAUAAUGGUUUACUUGAAACUGGCAUUAAAGGUUGAUAUUUCUGUGAA